rfam:Hordeum vulgare subsp. vulgare, WGS project CAJW01000000 data, contig: morex_contig_1584091
UUAAUACUCCCUCCGUUCCAAAAUUCUUGUCUUAAAUUUGUCAGAAAUUGAUGUAUCUAAAGACUAAAACGUGACUAGAUACAUUCAUAUUAGACAAAUCUAAAACAAGAAUUUUGGGACGAAGGGAGUACACU